CCUGUGAACUCGGAGGGGAAACAAGGGAGGAAAUAGAGGGCCUGUUAUUUCAUCAAAGCAGAAAAAAGCAACACUUUGGAGGGAAGGGGGUCCUUUUAUCUCCAGUCUACGUAGAAGGUGACAGCUAAUGAAUGUUCAUUAAAUGGAUGAAGAAACAUACACCGGAAGGACCUGUAGAGGUCAUUUUCUUCAUCUCUUGGCUUCCGAGCAGACUUGGUCUUACCUUCCCAAAG